rnacentral:rRNA from 1 species
AACGAACGCUGGCGGCAUGCCUAACACAUGCAAGUCGAACGAGACCUUCGAGUCUAGUGGCGCACGGGAGCGUAACGCGUGGGAACCUGCCCUUAGGUUCGGAAUAACUCCCCGAAAGGGGUGCUAAUACCGGAUAAUGUCUUCGGACCAAAGAUUUAUCGCCUUUGGAUGGGCCCGCGUUGGAUUAGCUAGUUGGUAGGGUAAAAGCCUACCAAGGCGACGAUCCAUAGCUGGUCUGAGAGGAUGAUCAGCCACACUGGGACUGAGACACGGCCCAGACUCCUACGGGAAGCAGCAGUGGGGAAUAUUGGACAAUGGGCGAAAGCCUGAUCCAGCAAUGCCGCGUGAGUGAUGAAGGCCUUAGGGUUGUAAAGCUCUUUUACCCGGGAUGAUAAUGACAGUACCGGGAAAAUAAGCUCCGGCUAACUCCGUG